CGGAAACACAAGCACCCUCCAAAUCCAAAAUCACCCAAAACUCUGCCUUCCAGUCUCUGAUACAUCCUCUUUCAAUCAGACUUUGUGGCAAUGGGUGGGCUGCCUUUGCAAAAUGCUUCCUCAACCUUAGCUCUGCCAGGAUCAGAGCAAAAUAAGGGUUCAGCAAUCUCAACAUCUGUACGAGAAUCAAAGCCAAAAAAGAAGAUUUGCUGUGCCUGCCCUGAAACUAAGAAGCUGAGAGAUGAAUGCAUUGUGGAGCAUGGUGAAACUGCUUGUGCAAAAUGGAUUGAGGCUCAUCGUCAGUGCCUUCGAGCUGAAGGUUUUAAUGUUUGAGAUUGAUUCAAAUGGUUAAGUUGAUAAUUUGAUACUUAUUUGGGGCGUAGGAUACUUGCUUUUGGAACCGUACAUGCCACAGUAGUUAAGGAAUAGAACAAGAAAAGGGCCGCUUUUCUUGACAAUUUGUGUUUCAACUUGUGCAAUUUAUUGAAAUUAUGAGGCAG
rnacentral:misc_RNA from 1 species